UAAAUUUGCAGGAGUUAGGGGAGGGGGGGUGAAGUUGCUCUGAGGAUUUCAGCACACAUGCCAGCGCCAGAAGGUGAGCGGGACAGUGACAGUAAGUCGACAGAUGAAGGAAGAGGAGGAGGAGGAGGAGGAGAGAUGGCAUACAGUACGGUCCAGAUUGCAUUCAGUUGGCUAUGGGAAACCAAGAUGACGCAGUGUUUCUAUUUGUUCAAUUGAGCCCCCGCUGCUGGCUUCUAAUGGGUCUUUCCACUGAGCUCAUCUUCUCUAUUUCAUCUAACACCUGCCUCCCUGUCACAGACAUGGAGAGAACAACAGAGACAGAGAAAUCAGCUCUCAGUUGAGGGUCAAAUGAUUGCAGUAAUUCCUGAUCUUCCUGUUCUCUCCCCUGAAUAACACGUAAGAGAAAAAAAGGGAUAAAAUGCCGAAACAUAUAUGUAAAAUAUGUGACUUUCAUAUUUUUGUUCAUCAUUAAAACAAUAACAUUCAUUAUCAGUGUGAGAUGUCAUACAUUAUGGAGACAAAACAGCCGGGAGACAGAUAAACAAGCCAGAGAAAUGUGUUGAUGUAAUGAUGUAAGGUUCAAUCCUGAAUGUUGAGCACAGCUCUGGACAGCACAGAGUCAUUGAUCUGUGAGGAGGAGAUACUAACGCAAUCGAUGCAAUACACUGAUGAGAGUGUUUGCAGGAAGUGAGGCCCAUCAUCUUCCUCUGUCACCUCACCUGACAUAAACAUCAGGGAAACAGACUUGAGAGGAAGGGAAGGAAAAUUGUAGAAGGAGCUGUUACUGCUUCCUGGCUUCUGUAUCUGAGCAUGUUUACAAACGUGUGUGUGGGGACGUGUGUGUGGUAAGUUACCUUAUUUCCCUCAAACCACAGAGAGAAGAAGUGCCUUCAUUCCCUGGCAGUAGUAGCACUCUCGCAGCCCAUGUGUUGAUUACAAGGCCCAGCACACAUACAUAUGUUCCCUGUCUGUCUGGCUCAACAAGAAACAGGCUGGUUACAUGCUUUACUAAUCAUUCCAACGGCACAGGCUCUCCAGGGACACAAGCCAAACUCCAUAUUUCAGCACACACUUGUCAACAUAAUGGUAUCAACAACAGCCUUAGAAAUGUGAUAUUAUGGGAGAGGAAGACAAACAGUACAGUCUGCUGCCUGCCACAAUCUCCUGCUUCCGCAAAGAAUGAGAGCACAGCAGUCAUUGUAAAAUUGUAUUAACCUGUGCAGGGCUGCGAUGGCUAUGUUCAUUAUUGAUUCAUCUGCUAAUUGUUUAAUUAACUAACUGGUUAAUCAUUUGGUCUAUAAAAUGGCAAAUUGACUUUUUUACAGCGUAUUUCUACCUUAAAGCCCUUUACAAUUUGUCUCUCAUUCAACCGCUCCCUCAUGCACCGACGCUGGCAAAUUUGCCAGGUAAGGUGCCGGCCUGACCAUCAGAGCAACUCGAUUGAAGCACCAAACUCUGCAAAACUCUGAAGACUCAUUAAAGUCUCCUAAAGCCCAAGUUGCAUCUUUAAUUUGCUUUGUUUUCUUCCGGCAACAGUCAAAAAAAACCCCCAAAGAUAUUCAGUUUCCUGUAAGACAAAGAAAAGCAAUAUCCUUACAAUUGGGGAGCUGGAAUCAAAGAAUGUUUGGCAUUAUUGCUGGAAAAAUUAACUACAGGUUUAACUUUUCUGUCAAUGAAUUUAUUGAUAAAUGA
ensembl:lncRNA